UACGUAGGGUGCAAGCGUUGUCCGGAAUUAUUGGGCGUAAAGAGCUCGUAGGCGGUUUGUCGCGUCGGCUGUGAAAGUCCGGGGCUCAACUCCGGAUCUGCGGUGGGUACGGGCAGACUAGAGUGAUGUAGGGGAGACUGGAAUUCCUGGUGUAGCGGUGAAAUGCGCAGAUAUCAGGAGGAACACCGGUGGCGAAGGCGGGUCUCUGGGCUGUAACUGACGCUGAGGAGCGAAAGCGUGGGUAGCGAACAGG
rnacentral:rRNA from 1 species